rnacentral:lncRNA from 1 species
ACUGCAAUCUCUGCCUCUUGGGUUCAAGCGAUUCUCCUGCCUCAGCCUCCUAAGUAGCUGGGAUUACAGGCGUGCGCCACCAUUCCCAGCUAAUUUUUGUAUUUUUAGUAGAGACGGGGUUUCACCAUGUUGGUGAGGCUGGUCUCGAACUCCUGACCUCGUGAUCCGCCUGCCUAAGCUUCCCAAAGUGCUGGGAUUACAGGCAUGAGCCACCGCGCCCAGCCUCAAGUUGAUUUAGGGUCCCAGAGCACUUUGGCCCGCAGUGGCUAGGCAUGCCAGAACUCAGGUUCUCACCACUAGAAUAGAUGAUUUCCCUCUGUCUAAUGAUCAUUUAAAUGCUCCCUCCAUGGGUGGUGUCUGAUUUCUGCCCCAUGGUGCUUUCCACUGUAAUAGAACAGCGCUGAGUUCCAAUGCAAAGCCUCAAAUCAGUCACUGAGCUCUCCCUACCCCAAAUGCACAGAUUCUCUCUCCUUGCCAUCUGACUGCUGCCAGGAGAUGUGGGAGGGGUGGCAUUUUGGGGUAGCACCUCACCCCAAAAGCCCAUUGGCUUAAAAUAGCAGUCCCAUCCCAAAAUCUCAAACCACCCCAAAAGCUCAUUGGCUUAAAAUAGCAGUCAAAUAUGACAUCUCAUGGUUCAGUAGGUUAAGUGGGUUUAACCAGUCGAUUCUUUUUUUUUUGAGAUGGAGUCUCACUAUGUCGCCCAGGCUGGAGUGCAGUGGCACCAUCUUGGCUCACCAUCUUUGCUCACCGCAACCUCUGCCUCCCGGGCCACCUCACCCGGCCACUUUUUUUUUUUUCUUUUUUAAUGAGACAAGGUCUCACCUAUCAUCUAGGCUACAACGCAGAGGCACAAUCACAGCCAACUGCAACCUUGAACACCUGGCUUCAGGCGAUCCUCCCACCUCUGUGUCCCAAACUGCUGUGUGAGCCACUGUGCCCAGCCAAAAGCUGUUUUUCAAUGGAGGACCAACAUCUGAAAAGUACAUUGACAAACUGAGGCUCUUAUAUGUUUAAUUCAACGCCUACAGGGCAGUGGCAGUGGCUCACGCCUGUAAUCCCAGCACUUUGGGAGGAUGAGGCAGGAGGAUGGCUUGAGGCCAACCUGGUCAACAUAGUGAGACUCUGUCUUUACAAAACAAAUAAAAUAUUAGCUGGGUGUGCUGGCACGAGCCUGUAGUCCCAGCUACUCAGAAGGCUGAGGUGGGAGGAUCACUUGGGCUAGGAGGUAGAGGCUGCAGUGAGCUAUGAUCGUGUCAUUGCACUCCAGCCUGGGCAACAGAGCAAAGACCCUGUCUCUAAAAAAUAAAUAAUAAAUGUCUAUGGACUGCACAAUAUUGUUGAUUCCUCAACUCCUCUCUUGCUCUUUUGCAUAUUGGCAACAUAAAAAGUGUCAUUUUCGGGCUGGGCACAGUGGCUCAU